CCUACGGGAGGCAGCAGUAAGGAAUAUUGGUCAAUGGAGGCAACUCUGAACCAGCCAUGCCGCGUGCAGGAAGACUGCCCUAUGGGUUGUAAACUGCUUUUAUCCGGGAAUAAACCUGCUUACGUGUAAGUAGCUGAAUGUACCGGAAGAAUAAGGAUCGGCUAACUCCGUGCCAGCAGCCGCGGUAAUACGGAGGAUCCAAGCGUUAUCCGGAUUUAUUGGGUUUAAAGGGUGCGUAGGCGGCCUGUUAAGUCAGGGGUGAAAGACGGUAGCUCAACUAUCGCAGUGCCCUUGAUACUGAUGGGCUUGAAUGGACUAGAGGUAGGCGGAAUGAGACAAGUAGCGGUGAAAUGCAUAGAUAUGUCUCAGAACACCGAUUGCGAAGGCAGCUUACUAUGGUCUUAUUGACGCUGAGGCACGAAAGCGUGGGGAUCAAACAGGAUUAGAUACCCUGGUAGUCCACGCCCUAAACGAUGAACACUCGCUGUUGGCGAUACACAGUCAGCGGCUAAGCGAAAGCGUUAAAGUGUUCCUAACCUGGGGAGUUACGCCGCAAGGGUUGAAACGUUCAAAGGAAGUUGAGG
rnacentral:rRNA from 1 species